rnacentral:rRNA from 1 species
UACGGAGGAUCCAAGCGUUAUCCGGAAUCAUUGGGUUUAAAGGGUCCGUAGGCGGUUUGGUAAGUCAGUGGUGAAAGCCCUUCGCUCAACGGAGGAACGGCCAUUGAUACUGCCAGACUUGAAUUACUGGGAAGUAACUAGAAUAUGUAGUGUAGCGGUGAAAUGCUUAGAUAUUACAUGGAAUACCAAUUGCGAAGGCAGGUUACUGCCGGUGGAUUGACGCUGAUGGACGAAAGCGUGGGGAGCGAACAGG